AAAAACACACUCUACAUUCACUACACACACACACUCUGCAUCUAAUGCAUGCAUACAAACAUUACAUACAUUACACAAAACAUACAAUCUGCAUCCACUAUACACACACUGCAUCCAUGACACACAUACCACAUCCACUAUACACACUUUAUCCAUGACACUCAUUCUACAUCCACUACACACACACUUCAUCCUUGUGGGUGGACUCUGGGUGGCCCAGGGGGCCCAGAUCUUGAGCUGUCAGGGGCCCUAAAAUUUCUGAUGGUGGCCCUGAUUAGGGGGGACCUAAUGUCCUCCC